rnacentral:rRNA from 1 species
AUUGAACGCUGGCGGCGUGCUUAACACAUGCAAGUCGAGCGGUAACAGGUGUAGCAAUACAUGCUGACGAGCGGCGAACGGGUGAGUAAUGCUUCGGAAUCUUCCUCGUAGUGGGGAAUAACCUGGGGAAACUCAGGCUAAUACCGCAUACGAACUACGGUUGAAAGCAGGGGAUCGCAAGACCUUGCGCUAUGAGAUGAGCCGAAGUCGGAUUAGCUAGUUGGUGAGGUAAAGGCUCACCAAGGCGACGAUCCGUAGCUGGUCUGAGAGGACGACCAGCCACACUGGGACUGAGACACGGCCCAGACUCCUACGGGAGGCAGCAGUGGGGAAUAUUGGACAAUGGGGGCAACCCUGAUCCAGCGACGCCGCGUGUGUGAAGAAGGCCUGCGGGUUGUAAAGCACUUUUAGUGGGGAUGGAAAAGCCAAGGGUUAAUACCCUUUGGUCUUGACCUAACCCAAAGAAAAGCACCGGCUAACUCUGUGCCAGCAGCCGCGGU